rnacentral:rRNA from 1 species
UACGGAGGGAGCGAGCGUUGUUCGGAAUUACUGGGCGUAAAGGGUGCGCAGGCGGCUUGAUAAGUUGGAAGUGAAAUCCCAGGGCUUAACCCUGGAAUUGCUUUCAAAACUAUUGAGCUAGAGUCUCGGAGAGGUUAGCGGAAUUCCUAGUGUAGAGGUGAAAUUCGUAGAUAUUAGGAGGAACACCAGUGGCGUAAGCGGCUAACUAGACGAGUACUGACGCUCAGGCACGAAAGCGUGGGGAGCAAACAGG